CAGCAGCCGCGGUAAUACGGAGGGGGCUAGCGUUGUUCGGAAUUACUGGGCGUAAAUCGCACGUAGGCGGCUUGGUAAGUUAGAGGUGAAAGCCCGGAGCUCAACUCCGGAAUUGCCUUUAAGACUGCCGAGCUAGUAGGUGAGAGAGGUAAGUGGAAUUCCGAGUGUAGAGGUGAAAUUCGUAGAUAUUCGGAAGAACACCAGUGGCGAAGGCGGCUUACUGGCUCAUUCUAGACGCUGAGGUGCGAAAGCGUGGGGAGCAAACAGGAUUAGAUACCCCAGUAGUCCCUGUCUCUUAUAC
rnacentral:rRNA from 1 species